CCUACGGGAGGCAGCAGUGGGGAAUAUUGGACAAUGGGCGAAAGCCUGAUCCAGCAAUGCCGCGUGAGUGAUGAAGGCCUUCGGGUCGUAAAGCUCUUUUACCAGGGAUGAUAAUGACAGUACCUGGAGAAUAAGCUCCGGCUAACUCCGUGCCAGCAGCCGCGGUAAUACGGAGGGAGCUAGCGUUGUUCGGAAUUACUGGGCGUAAAGAGUACGUAGGCGGUUAUUCAAGUCAGAGGUGAAAGCCCGGGGCUCAACCCCGGAACUGCCUUUGAAACUAGAUAACUAGAGUCUUGGAGAGGUUAGUGGAAUUCCGAGUGUAGAGGUGAAAUUCGUAGAUAUUCGGAAGAACACCAGUGGCGAAGGCGACUAACUGGACAAGUACUGACGCUGAGGUACGAAAGCGUGGGGAGCAAACAGGAUUAGAUACCCUGGUAGUCCACGCCGUAAACGAUGAUAACUAGUUGUUCGGUCACUUGGUGUACUGAGUAGACGCAGACUACGACAUUAAGUUAUUCCGUCCGUCGGGUAGGUACGGUCGUCGAGAAGUAAACGUAACGAAAGAAAGUAGACGGCGNGUAAGAGUGCGAGACGACGACGAGGGAGGAGG
rnacentral:rRNA from 1 species